GUGCUCCCUUUGGCAGCACAUAUACGAAAAAUUGGAGCGACACAGAGAAGAUUAGCAUGGCCCCCGUGCAAGGAUCACACUCAAAUUUGUGAAGCCUAGGGCUGCCUU